rnacentral:rRNA from 1 species
GACGAACGCUGGCGGCGUGCCUAAUACAUGCAAGUAGAACGCACAGUUUAUACCGUAGCUUGCUACACCAUAGACUGUGAGUUGCGAACGGGUGAGUAACGCGUAGGUAACCUGCCUGGUAGCGGGGGAUAACUAUUGGAAACGAUAGCUAAUACCGCAUAAUAUUAAUUAUUGCAUGAUAAUUAAUUGAAAGGUGCAAUUGCACCACUACCAGAUGGACCUGCGUUGUAUUAGCUAGUAGGUGAGGUAACGGCUCACCUAGGCGACGAUACAUAGCCGACCGGAGAGGGUGAUCGGCCACACUGGGACUGAGACACGGCCCAGACGCCUACGGGAGGCAGCAGUAGGGAAUCUUCGGCAAGGGACGAAAGUCUGACCGAGCAACGCCGCGUGAGUGAAGAAGGUUUUCGGAUCGGAAAGCUCGGUUGUAAGAGAAGAGCGGGUGUGAGAGUGGAAAGUUCACACUGUGACGGUAUCUGACCAGAAAGGGACGGCUAACUACGUG